GACGAACGCUGGCGGCGUGCUUAACACAUGCAAGUCGAACGGGCCUGUCUUCUUUUUUGGGGGGUGGGUUGAGUGGCGAACGGGUGAGUAUCACGUGAGUAACCUGCCCUUCGGUCCUGGAUAACCGCUUGAAAGGGCGGCUAAUACGGGGUGGUCCGGUUGGUCCGCAUGGGCUGGUCGGGAUAGAUUCACUGUUUUUGGUGUUUCGGCGGGGGAUGGGCUCGCGGCCUUUCAGCUUGUUGGUGGGGUGAUGGCCUACCAAGGCGGGGACGGGUAGCCGGCCUGAGAGGGUGGGCGGCCACACUGGGACUGAGAUACGGCCCAGACUCCUGCGGGAGGCAGCAGUGGGGGGUAUUGCACAAUGGGCGGAAGCCUGAUGCAGCGACGUCGCGUGAGGGAUGGAGGCCUUCGGGUUGUGAACCUCUGUUUCCGGUGGUGAAGGCCCUGUCCGUGUGGUGGGGUUGACGGUAGCCGGGGAUGAAGCGCCGGCUAACUACGUG
rnacentral:rRNA from 1 species